GCUGCCCAUGACUUUGCUAUGAAGAAGGUGUUGAACGUGAGGGAGCAAAAUAUUCCAAACUACUCUGAUUCAAUAUUCGGAAAAUGUUUACAAUUUCACAUUCUUCAGCAUGAGCCCAGCAUUUUUUUGGAAGUGCAAACUGCGGUCUAGACACACUGCCUUGGAAGUUCUCACAAAACCAAUGCUUGUGAGAGAACUCUAACCUUGUGGGUUCUUGCUUAUUGUGAGGGAACUCUGAAUUUCUUGGUGGCUGAUGGUGCUUGGUCGCACUCUUGACUGGUAAUGUCUACGCAUCGCAAGUUUGAUGAUUGCACUUGUUGCAUUGUACCAUUUAUAGCAGAUUCUCAGAAUAAAGUCUAAAUGAGACUAAACCUCUCAACCCACCAAGUGCCAUGUUUAACUCAAAAUAAAGUACAAGAAACAUUUGGAGAUGCGCUUUUAUGGACGCAUGCUACCGCAAUUUGCAUUCAGAGUACUUUGUUGAAAGCUAAAGUUCUUGGACUCUUCAUAUUUCAGUUUGUGCUCAUUCUGCAUUGCUUUGAAUGAUGUUUCAGCAGCCUGGAGAUAUAUUUUGUUAUGUCAAGAUGGUUUGCAUGUCGGAGAAUUUACUAGAGUGGCAUCAGAGAAAUACUUGCAUAAACCAAGUUUACUGUCAUUUUGCAAAACAAAUUUGAUAAGAUUUAAUUCUCUCUUUUUCAGGAAGACACACAAACAUUAGCUUGUUUCCCCGAAGUUGAGAGUGGUGCAGGCCUCGGUCUCCUACAACCCUGCUAUGACUCUGCGUUUACGUGUUUCCACUUUGUAAUCCGUCUGUAAUAGGUUGGCUUGGAAACAGAGGAUCACUACUAGAAGAAUCCGUGAUGCCGAACUUUCAACGCAGGCGAGGAGCAGCUGCCCAUGUCUGAAGCUGCUCAUCUUGCUGGAACCGGAACAGUUUGCAUCCCUCCAUUAUUCGCCAUGUACGCUGCGCACUCCUAGUCCUGGUUUUCAGCUAGCAGAGGAUCAGAUCGAACUUAAGGUAGCAGGGAGAUUUUCUAGUGAUUUUAACAUCUGUUAUCUGUUGAUGCUCAAUUUUAUUUAUUCUGGAUUUUAUGCCUUGUAAUGUUACAUACAGACAGAUUCAAAAGGCUUCAUCUGCAUGCGGAUUUGUUGGUGUAGUUUAUUUUAGCUCGGGUGACCAGCAGACAGGGAUGGUUUGGCCCCUGUAGUCAGUUACAGAGGUACACGGUCUUUCAUCUGUAUGCAUGUUCCCCGUUCUUUAUAUGAAGUGCUACUUUGCUUUUCUGAUUUGGAAAUUUGAUUCUUCGUUUAUGGAAACAGUGUCACAGUCGCACAUGAUCAUUAUAUAUCCACGGGCUUGUAUGCAUUUGAUUACCUUGGUUUUUUGUCACUUGAUUACAUUGAGGUUGUAUAGCCAAGUACAUAAGUAGAAUGACGUUCUUUGAAUACAGUUGGGCCGGUCGGACACAGG
rnacentral:lncRNA from 1 species